rnacentral:tRNA from 1 species
GGGGACGUAGUUCAGUUGGUUUAGAACGUCAGACUGUCGAUCUGAAGGUCGCGGGUUCGAGCCCCGUCGUCCCCGCCA